rnacentral:rRNA from 1 species
AUUGAACGCUGGCGGCAUGCUUUACACAUGCAAGUCGAACGGCAGCGCGGGCUUCGGCCUGGCGGCGAGUGGCGAACGGGUGAGUAAUGCAUCGGAACUUGCCCAGUAGUGGGGGAUAGCCCGGCGAAAGCCGGAUUAAUACCGCAUACGACCUGAGGGUGACAGCGGGGGACCGAAAGGCCUCGCGCUAUUGGAGCGGCCGAUGUCGGAUUAGCUAGUUGGUGGGGUAAAGGCUUACCAAGGCGACGAUCCGUAGCUGGUCUGAGAGGACGACCAGCCACACUGGGACUGAGACACGGCACAGACUCCUACGGGAGGCAGCAGUGGGGAAUUUUGGACAAUGGGGGCAACCCUGAUCCAGCCAUGCCGCGUGCGGGAAGAAGGACUUCGGGUUGUAAACCGAUUUUGUUCGGGAAGAAAUCCUCUGGGCUAAUACCCCGGGGGGAUGACGGUACCGGAAGAAUAAGCACCGGCUAACUACGUG